GAUGAAGAACGUAGCGAAAUGCGAUAAGUAAUGUGAAUUGCAGAACUCAGUGAAUCAUCGAAUCUUUGAACGCACAUUGCGCCCCCUGGCCUUCCGGGGGGCAUGCCUGUCCGAGCGUCAUUGCUGCCCUCAAGCACGGCUUGUGUGUUGGGCCUCCGUCCUCCUCCCGGGGGACGGGCCCGAAAGGCAGCGGCGGCACCGCGUCCGGUCCUCGAGCGUAUGGGGCUUCGUCACCCGCUCUUGUAGGCCCGGCCGGCGCUUGCCGACACAUCAAUCUUUUUUCCAGGUUGACCUCGGAUCAGGUAGGGAUACCCGCUGAACUUAAGCAUAUCAAUAAGCGGAGGA
rnacentral:misc_RNA from 1 species